GCCGGAGUGGUGGAAUGGUAGACGCGCCGGACUCAAAAUCCGGUGGGGGCAACCCCGUGAGAGUUCGAGUCUCUCCUCCGGCA
rnacentral:tRNA from 12 species